rnacentral:rRNA from 1 species
UACGUAGGCAGCAAGCGUUGUUCGGAGUUACUGGGCGUAAAGGGUGCGUAGGCGGUCGGGUAAGUCUGACAUGAAAUCUUCAAGCUCAACUUGGAAACUGCGUCGGAUACUAUUCGGCUAGAGGAAUGGAGGGGAGACUGGAAUACUUGGUGUAGCAGUGAAAUGCGUAGAUAUCAAGUGGAACACCAGUGGCGAAGGCGAGUCUCUGGACAUUUCCUGACGCUGAGGCACGAAAGCCAGGGGAGCAAACGGG